rnacentral:rRNA from 1 species
UACGUAGGGGGCAAGCGUUAUCCGGAUUUACUGGGUGUAAAGGGAGCGUAGACGGCAUAGCAAGUCUGAAGUGAAAGCCCGUGGCUCAACCGCGGAGCUGCUUUGGAAACUGUUAAGCUGGAGUACUGGAGAGGCAAGCGGAAUUCCUAGUGUAGCGGUGAAAUGCGUAGAUAUUAGGAGGAGCACCAGUGGCGAAGGCGGCUUGCUGGACAGAGACUGACGUUGAGGCUCGAAAGCGUGGGGAGCAAACAGG